rnacentral:rRNA from 1 species
GACGUAGGGCGCGAGCGUUGUCCGGAUUUAUUGGGCGUAAAGAGCUCGUAGGCGGCUUGUCGCGUCGAAUGUGAAAACCCACAGCUCAACUGUGGGCCUGCAUUCGAUACGGGCAGGCUCGAGUUCGGUAGGGGAGACUGGAAUUCCUGGUGUAGCGGUGAAAUGCGCAGAUAUCAGGAGGAACACCGGUGGCGAAGGCGGGUCUCUGGGCCGAUACUGACGCUGAGGAGCGAAAGCGUGGGGAGCGAACAGG